CACGUAGGGUGCGAGCGUUGUCCGGAAUUAUUGGGCGUAAAGCGCACGUAGGCGGUCGGCUAUGUCGGAUGUGAAAACUGGAGGCUCAACCUUCAGACGUCGACCGAAACCAUCUGGCUAGAGUCCGGGAGAGGAGAGUGGAAUUCCUGGUGUAGCGGUGAAAUGCGCAGAUAUCAGGAAGAACACCCGUGGCGAAAGCGGCUAUCUGGACAGAGUCUGACGCUGAGGCGCGAAAGCUAGGGGAGCAAACAGG
rnacentral:rRNA from 1 species